rnacentral:rRNA from 1 species
GUGCAGCAGGCGCGAAAACUCCGCAAUGCGCGAAAGCGUGACGGGGUCACCCCGAGUGCCGUCCGCUGAGGAUGGCUUUUGCCUGGUCUAACCAGCCGGGUGAAUAAGGGGAGGGCAAGUCUGGUGUCAGCCGCCGCGGUAAUACCAGCUCCCCGAGUGGUUGGGACGAUUAUUGGGUCUGAAGCGUCCGUAGCCGGCCGGAAAAGUUCCCCGUUAAAUCUGGCGAUCCAAUCGUUGGGCUGCGGGGAAUACUCUUCGGCUAGGUGGCGGGAGAGGCCGACGGUAUUCUCGGGGUAGGGGUGAAAUCCUAUAAUCCCGGGAAGACCACCAGUGGCGAAGGCUGUCGGCUAGAACGCGCCCGACGGUGAGGGAUGAAAGCUGGGGGAGCG